rnacentral:rRNA from 1 species
AGUCGAACGAAGCGCUUAAAUGGAUUUCUUCGGAUUGAAGUUUUUGUGACUGAGUGGCGGACGGGUGAGUAACGCGUGGGUAACCUGCCUCAUACAGGGGGAUAACAGUUAGAAAUGACUGCUAAUACCGCAUAAGCGCACAGUGCUGCAUGGCACAGUGUGAAAAACUCCGGUGGUAUGAGAUGGACCCGCGUCUGAUUAGCUAGUUGGUGGGGUAACGGCCUACCAAGGCGACGAUCAGUAGCCGGCCUGAGAGGGUGAACGGCCACAUUGGGACUGAGACACGGCCCAAACUCCUACGGGAGGCAGCAGUGGGGAAUAUUGCACAAUGGGGGAAACCCUGAUGCAGCGACGCCGCGUGAGCGAAGAAGUAUUUCGGUAUGUAAAGCUCUAUCAGCAGGGAAGAAAAUGACGGUACCUGACUAAGAAGCACCGGCUAAAUACGUGCCAGCAGCCGCGGUAAUACGUAUGGUGCAAGCGUUAUCCGGAUUUACUGGGUGUAAAGGGAGCGUAGACGGUUGUGUAAGUCUGAUGUGAAAGCCCGGGGCUCAACCCCGGGACUGCAUUGGAAACUAUGUAACUAGAGUGUCGGAGAGGUAAGCGGAAUUCCUAGUGUAGCGGUGAAAUGCGUA